GGAGAUCCAAGAACGCUCUCUUGGGGUCUGGAUCGGUACUCCUUUCCUGUAACAUAUUUCUGGUGACCCAGAUGGGACUGUAGUACAGAAACCCUGACUCAACGGCUACCUUUGGAUACAGGGAUACAUGUGCAGGUUUGUUACAUGGGAACAUUGCGUGAUGCUGAGGUUUGGAGUAUGGAUCCCACCACCCAGGUAGUGAGCAUAUCUGGUCCUCCAGGAUUCUGUGGACAUCUCUUCCUGUGGAAAGCAUAGAGAAGGAACAUUAGUGGGGUGCUGUAAGAAAACUGCCCAUGGCUUCUUUCCCAGCAUAAUAAGGUAAGAAGAAAAUAUUCAAACUCCCAACUAGCAUGGUCAAAAAUAUGCAAAGCCUAUUUAAGGCUUUAUUUAAACCCUGAACUUAAGGUAAGUGGAAUGCCUCAAAAAGACUAUCAAUCCCAUGUUUCUAAAUUGUUAAAAUUUUACUAUGUCUGGAUUCUAAUUACUUUUUGCUAUUUGAAAAUUAUUUUUCUUUUCCUAGCAGAAACACGCCCCAUCUGUAUUUGAAAAUUAACUUGUGUAUUCUUUGUUGAUUUAUAGAGAGCUUUUUCACUUGAUUUCUGGGUGCUAGCAUCAUCAGAAACUUUAUCUCAGCAAUGGGAAAAACUAAGGUGCUUAAUCAGUGAGUUUUCCUGUUAGAACCCCAAAGGAACAGUGGGCCUAAUGGCAGACUCAGAGUCACCUUAAGGCAGAUUGUAUCAUAGCAUAUAUUACAUGCACUUUCUUUGUGCAAGACACGCCUUUUCAGUGUCUCCAAUGAAGUCUUCCAAUGAAGACUUGAUUGCAUUGUGUCCCCCUUCCCAACCCACCCUACCUCAC